rnacentral:misc_RNA from 1 species
GAAAUGCGAUAAGUAAUGUGAAUUGCAGAAUUCAGUGAAUCAUCGAAUCUUUGAACGCACCUUGCGCUCCUUGGUAUUCCUUGGAGCAUGCCUGUUUGAGUAUCAUGAAAUCUUCAAAGUAAAUCUUUUGUUAACUCAAUUGGUUUCUACUUUGGUAUUGGAGGUCUUUGCAGCUUCACACCUGCUCCUCUUUGUUCAUUAGCUGGAUCUCAGUGUGAUGCUUGGUUCCACUCGGCGUGAUAAGUUAUCUAUCGCUGAGGACACUGUAAAAGGUGGCCAAGGUAAAUGCAGAUGAACCGCUUCUAAUAGUCCAUUGACUUGGACAAUACUUUUAUGAUCUGAUCUCAAAUCAGGUAGGACUACCCGCUGAACUUAAGC